rnacentral:rRNA from 1 species
GUCGAGAAUCUUGGGCAAUGCGCGAAAGCGUGACCCAGCAAUGCCGCGUGUAUGAUGAAGGCCCUCGGGUCGUAAAGUACUGUCUCCCGUGACGAAAUUUGACGGUAGCGGGGAAGGAAGCCACGGCUAACUACGUGCCAGCAGCCGCGGUAAUACGUAGGUGGCGAGCGUUGUUCGGAUUUAUUGGGCGUAAAGGGUCUGUAGGAGGUUUGUUAAAUACGGGGUGAAAUCCCGAAGCUCAACUUCGGAAUUGCCUUGUAGACUGACGGACUGGAGUACCGGAGAGGUAAGCGGAAUACCAGGUGUAGCGGUGGAAUGCGUAGAUAUCUGGUAGAACACCAAAAGCGAAGGCAGCUUGCUGGACGGAAACUGACUCUGAAAGACGAAAGCAUGGGGAGCAAACAGGAUUAGAAACCCGAGUAGUCC